rnacentral:misc_RNA from 1 species
AAGUCGUAACAAGGUUUCCGUAGGUGAACCUGCGGAAGGAUCAUUAUAAAAUUUUUCAUAUUAAAUUUUAUUUAAUAUAUAAAAUUUAUACAAAAAUGUAUUCAAAACCCACACUCUUUAUAACCAUAAAAAAAUAUAUUAUAUAUUUAUAAUAUAUAAUAUAAAAAAAAACAACUUUCAACAACGGAUCUCUUGACUCUC